rnacentral:lncRNA from 1 species
AACCCAUGCUUCUAUUUCCUUCCUUAUGUGAUGAACGAAAAGAGAGGAUGUACCUCCUGGAGAUCAUGCAGAAGGAGCAAGAAAUAAUGGGAAAGAAGACAAAGAAGAAAGACUGCCAUCUGCAAGGUUCUGCUUUUACUUGAGAAUCUAAACUUAGGUGGUAAGAUAUAAGUGAAAUACGUGGAUGGGAAAAAGUUCUCUACUGGCGGCUAGUGGAUGCCCAUUGUAUAAAUACGUUAUAAUUAAGAGGCAUUUCCCAUCAUAAAAAGUUUACAGUGCAAAUAAUC